AUGCCGUCCUUAGCCUGCAGGCAAGCGGGGCCCAUGCCGUAACCGGGGAAACUGAAGCGGCCCUCGCCCGUCUCAUCCUCCUGCAACACAGGCCAAGACUCAGGCUGUUAGGAACCAGAGAAAGACGUUACUGUUGAGAGUGGUUGGUUGUGAGUCAUCGAUUGUUACUUCGACUGAAUGGCCCGGCAGCGCCGUGGAGGGGGACGAACUCCACACAGAAAGACCCCAAAGCUCGCCGCCGAUCCAACUAGCCCAGAUGCAGAAGUCAUCGAUAGGAGCUGACGCCGGACGCCACGUGCGCUCAUCUCAACCGCCAAGGGGAGCGGGAGGACGCGGGUGAAUGGAUUUGGAUUGAUUGACGUGUGCCGUGCUCAAGGUUACAGCGCAUGCACGGCACUUUCACCCGAGCGCGGCAAGAUAUUGAAAAUCCUAUCGCCACACUCACCCUGCCUUUUCAUUACAGGAGACACAAUGACUUCCUUAUCUGGUUCAGGGACUCCAACACAAAGGCCUACAUGGGCUGAGAGACGGCGAGGGCGUGUGGGGAAACUAAACGAGGAAAAUAAACAGCACAGAAUGUCCUUCAAACUUAAAACAACACCCGUGAAAUUAAAAAUUAGGUCCAAUGAUAAGGAGUCGUCUUUGUUUGGCUUCAGAGUUUUUGAUAAAAGCCGAGGUUGUAAAGUCCACGCUUGAAUGCCAUUUGUGUUUCCCGCAGGCCACUGUGGGAGUUUGUGUGGCAGCCUAUCAGCAGGGAAUCUUUCCAGUUCAUUUUGGCUGAAAAGGAAAAAAAAAAAGCAUUUUAUGAUCGGAAAACAAGCAGGAGCAAAAUCGAAAGCAGGAGGAGGAACUGUUGGCAGCAGAAGGACCAAAGUGAUGCAAAACCUCUGCAGCAGCAACAAAUCAAGCUGCCAACCAAACAGGCGCCUCAGUUCUCUUCAGUUAGACCAGCCUCCGGUUUCUAGCAGGGGGGAGGGGCUAAAAAAGAGUCAAUAAUGAGCCUGUUUGUCCUGACAUCAUCAAUAACACAGAGAAAAGGGUUAAAAAUCCUCCAAAAACCCGAUCAAAUAAAGCAGCGCAGCCGGGGGAGGGAGAUGUACUGAGAGUGUGUGUGAGUGUGUGUGUGUGUGCGUGCGUGAGUGUUAGACCACCAGGUAACGAUCCAUUUUUAGUGCCUCAUGUCCCCGUUCUGUCCUUGCAUGCACACCAAGCCAUCUAUUACUGUUAAUACAUGUACACACACACACACACACACACACACACACACACGCCCGCGCGUGCUAGAUGUCGAUACAUUAGCUGUGAUGCUAGCCGACCUCUGCCUGUCCUUCAGUGACGCUGCUAAACUAUUACAGAUGCUCUGCUUUAUUCUGCCUGCCAUGUGAUUAAUGUGGAGGGCGGAGGAACAUGAGGAGGAGACGCAAUGAGAGGAACGGUGGAGGGAGAAAGAAAAGGUGGAGUAAUGAAGAAAAGAAAGGAAGUCAGAGAAGGAGAACAAUAAGGGACAAGGGAGGAAGACCUGCAGCCUGCAGACUUGGCGAAAAGAACUCAUAAGGCCCCUGAAGGAACCCAUCAAAGAACGCCUCCGCAUGGACCAGGUGAUUCAUUACAUUUAUGCCUAAUUAUAAAAAUGUCCUCCAUUAACACACAAGCUCCAGGCCCGCAUAGUCCACGGAUGGAUGGAUGGGCAAAGGAGAAUUAAGGUUUGCCCUUUGGAUUCUAUGAAGGAGCCUCAAAAGAUCCAGCUCAUCUAACAUCUCUUCUCUGAUACAGCCCAAAAAUCGAAUCCUAACAUAUUUACACACAUACGAAAUCUGGAAAGUUAUGGACCGUGAGAUGUUUGGUCUCUGCACCGCCACAAGUGCAGACUCUGCUUUAAUCCCAGGGGGGCAAAAACAAAUAUGACAUUGACCGUUAAAGCCAGUUCACUCCAAAGGGUGCUCUUCUCUUCAUAAAUGAAGCAGAUAACAAGUCUGCUCCAAACUCGGUGUAGUAUCUACUCCAACUGUGGCAAUUACAUUUGCAAGCUGUUUGUGUAAACAAGUGCAAA